UCUUAUCCAGCCAAUAUGAUGAAAAAAAAAAAAAAACAAUAGGAAGGUGAACAGCAAUGUUCAUUACACUUCCCCACUCCCAGAAUAUCCAGUAAUUUUGUUAUUGAGUGCAGUGCGGACAUCAGGGACCCUUGAGCAACCUACAAAGCUUCAGAUUUCUGGUGCCUAAUCUGUAGCAGGGGAUUUGAACCACUAUGCCUCACAUUCUGAAUUCACACCCUAGGUAAAUAGCCAUUCUAAAAUGAUUUUUUUUUUUUUUUUUUUUUUUGAGACACAGAGAGAAAGAGAAAGAGAGCAAGAGUGUAAGGAAGAGCUCUUCUACUUCAUGAAAGCGUAAACCCUUCAGGUAUGGCAGAGUAUCUUUCAGUUAACUCUGGUUGAAGCUGGGUUGGUCUACAUAACUGCACUUAGUUCAACAGAUAGAUUUAAAAUUCCUAUCAAUCAGAGAUGAUUAUGUGUCACCCAGGAAAUGAAAGGUCAGCUUUAAGAGAGCUCAGAAAAAAAAAAAAAAAGAGGUAAUUAAAAGGUUUUUUUAUUAUUAUUUUAUUAGAACUUCUCUACAGAAUUUGACUGUCA
rnacentral:lncRNA from 1 species